GUGCUUAACACAUGCAAGUCGAACGGAAAGGUCUCUUCGGAGAUACUCGAGUGGCGAACGGGUGAGUAACACGUGGGUGAUCUGCCCUGCACUUCGGGAUAAGCCUGGGAAACUGGGUCUAAUACCGGAUAGGACCACGGGAUGCAUGUCCCGUGGUGGAAAGCGUUUAGCGGUGUGGGAUGGGCCCGCGGCCUAUCAGCUUGUUGGUGGGGUGAUGGCCUACCAAGGCGACGACGGGUAGCCGGCCUGAGAGGGUGUCCGGCCACACUGGGACUGAGAUACGGCCCAGACUCCUACGGGAGGCAGCAGUGGGGAAUAUUGCACAAUGGGCGCAAGCCUGAUGCAGCGACGCCGCGUGGGGGAUGACGGCCUUCGGGUUGUAAACCUCUUUCACCAUCGACGAAGGUCCGGGUUUUCUCGGAUUGACGGUAGGUGGAGAAGAAGCACCGGCCAACUACGUGCCAGCAGCCGCGGUAAUACGUAGGGUGCGAGCGUUGUCCGGAAUUACUGGGCGUAAAGAGCUCGUAGGUGGUUUGUCGCGUUGUUCGUGAAAU
rnacentral:rRNA from 1 species